rnacentral:rRNA from 1 species
AGAGUUUGAUCCUGGCUCAGGAUGAACGCUGGCGGCGUGCUUAACACAUGCAAGUCGAGCGAAGCACUUUUGCGGAUUUCUUCGGAUUGAAGCAAUUGUGACUGAGCGGCGGACGGGUGAGUAACGCGUGGGUAACCUGCCUCAUACAGGGGGAUAACAGUUGGAAACGGCUGCUAAUACCGCAUAAGCGCACAGUACCGCAUGGUACCGUGUGAAAAACUCCGGUGGUAUGAGAUGGACCCGCGUCUGAUUAGCUAGUUGGUGGGGUAACGGCCUACCAAGGCGACGAUCAGUAGCCGACCUGAGAGGGUGACCGGCCACAUUGGGACUGAGACACGGCCCAAACUCCUACGGGAGGCAGCAGUGGGGAAUAUUGCACAAUGGGGGAAACCCUGAUGCAGCGACGCCGCGUGAGCGAUGAAGUAUUUCGGUAUGUAAAGCUCUAUCAGCAGGGAAGAAAAUGACGGUACCUGACUAAGAAGCCCCGGCUAACUACGUGCCAGUAGCCGCGGUAAUACGUAGGGGGCAAGCGUUAUCCGGAUUUACUGGGUGUAAAGGGAGCGUAGACGGCAUGGCAAGCCAGAUGUGAAAGCCCGGGGCUCAACCCCGGGACUGCAUUUGGAACUGUCAGGCUAGAGUGUCGGAGAGGAAAGCGGAAUUCCUAGUGUAGCGGUGCAAUGCGUAGAUAUUAGGAGGAACACCAGUGGCGAAGGCGGCUUUCUGGACGAUGACUGACGUUGAGGCUCGAAAGCGUGGGGAGCAAACAGGAAAAGAUACCCUGGUAGUCCACGCCGUAAACGA